rnacentral:rRNA from 1 species
CACGUAGGCACCAAGCGUUGUCCGGAUUUAUUGGGCGUAAAGAGCUCGUAGGCGGUUCGGUAAGUCGGGUGUGAAAACUCUGGGCUCAACCCAGAGAUGCCACUCGAUACUGCUGUGACUAGAGUGCGGUAGGGGAGCGGGGAAUUCCUGGUGUGAGCGGUGAAAUGCGCAGAGUAUCAGGAGGAACACCAGUGGCGAAGGCGCCGCUCUGGGCCGUGACUGACGCUGGAGGCGCGAAGGCGUGGGGAGCGAACAGG